AGUGAACGCUGGCGGUAGGCCUAACACAUGCAAGUCGAACGGCAGCACAGUAAGAGCUUGCUCUUACGGGUGGCGAGUGGCGGACGGGUGAGGAAUACAUCGGAAUCUACUUUUUCGUGGGGGAUAACGUAGGGAAACUUACGCUAAUACCGCAUACGACCUACGGGUGAAAGCAGGGGAUCUUCGGACCUUGCGCGAUUGAAUGAGCCGAUGUCGGAUUAGCUAGUUGGCGGGGUAAAGGCCCACCAAGUCGACGAUCCGUAGCUGGUCUGAGAGGAUGAUCAGCCACACUGGAACUGAGACACGGUCCAGACUCCUACGGGAGGCAGCAGUGGGGAAUAUUGGACAAUGGGCGCAAGCAUGAUCCAGCCAUACCGCGUGGGUGAAGAAGGCCUUCGGGUUGUAAAGCCCUUUUGUUGGGAAAGAAAAGCAGCAGGUUAAUACCCCGCUGUUCUGACGGUACCCAAAGAAUAAGCACCGGCUAACUUCGUG
rnacentral:rRNA from 1 species